AUAAUUUACAGUUGGGCUUUUGUUACAGCAGGAGCUAAUGAGAGCUGGAAUGUAGCCAAGUCUGUCUUGUAAGAGACUGUAAUUGUGACAACUUGUCAGCUCCCCUUGCCUCACAAGGAAGGUCUGUGUGCAUUCAAAUGGCAUUUGGAGUCUGAACCAAUAAGAACAGUGUUCUCAAUUCCACCAAUGGAAAGCAAACGCUGAGGAAAGCUUUGAGAUCUCCUUCAUAGCUGCUGACUCAUUUCUCCCUCCAAACUUAACGGGUGCUGCCGCAGAAACCACAGAAUAGUGUGGAUGACAAGAAAAAUAUAAUUUAUCCUAAGCACUGAAUACAAUACAAAAAAGAGAAAAGCAUCCUUGGCUUAUCUUAUUGAAGAUGCCACCGGAAUACAUCCUGUCUUACUGGCAAUCACAUGUCAACUCCAGAGCAGAGAGCAGAAUGAAGAGGAAGAGGAAGAGAAAAACUUCCUACUUGUCCCUGCUUAGAUUCUGAGUCUGCCUGCUGUGUCACUUCCUGCCUGGAUCAGAAGACUUUACUAUGUUUUCCAGAAUACUCUUUGAAUCCCAGUCCCACCUAACUUGCUACCUCAUUGGCUGAACAGUGCCUUAUUCAACAACCAAUAAGAUAAACAUACAGUGACAUGUAAAAAAAUCUUGUUUCUAAUUCAAAUAAAAAAUUGGAAAAAAGAUAAACAUACACAGAAGGAUGUCCCCCAUCACAUAUGAGAAACAAAAUCAAUUUUUACAUAUAACUUAGUGCUACUUCUUGUGAAUUUGUUACUGAAAAAUUGCACAUAGUAGACAUAAAACAAUGAGCAAUGGAAUAUUUUACUUUAUAGGUUAUUUUAUUUAUCUCAUGAAUAUAAUUAUACUCACAGUGUUUUACUCUUUCUAUAUGAGUUUCUCUAUUUCAUGUCACAGAAUGGGAUCAGCAGCAUGAGUAAUAGAGGGGACCUGCAGAUGUCUUGUGAAAACAAAAAGGUUUUGAUAUUAAAGUUGGAGAACAUAAAAUCUAAAUUUUAUAUGCAGAAAUAUUGAGUUCAAACUUCAUAUUUCAGUUUCAUGUAUAUGACUGAACAUUGUUUCAUCAAUAAAGCUAAACACAGUAUCUUAAUUUGCACAAAAUUUUGCAGUUACUUCAGUGACACAUUCUAGGUUACAGUCACCUACAUAAAAAUAUCUAGUAUAAAAUAAGUUAUAGUCACAUCUACAAUUCUCUUGUCAAUGAGUAACAAAAUUAAUUGGUUAAUAUGUUUUGACAAUCUCAUGGCUCAUUCUAAUAUUUGUCCCCUAUAUUUACACAGUUUUUUAUGUAUGACUAUCCUACCAUAUGGAAUUAAGCAUGGACCCUCCUGGUUCAACUUCCAUGAUCAUGUGGUUAUCUUCACAUAUUAAUUAUGGAAGUAGCAGGAUGAGAAAUAAAAUGGGUCAUCAAAGGAUUUUUAAGGAACAGUUUUUUGACUAACCAAACAAGUGAAGACAUGUAUAGCAAGAACUUUCAGUCUUUAAAGGAAGAAAUUAAAGAAGACAUCAGAAAAUGAAAAGGUCUCACAUGAUCUUCAAUAGGUAGGAUCAAGAUAGUAAAAAUGGCAACCUUGCCAAAAGCUAUCUACAGAUUCAAUGCAACUCACAUCAAAAUGCCAACACAAUUCUUCACAGACCUUGACAAACCAAUAGUCAACAUUUUAUGGAGAAACAAAAGACCCAGGAUAGCAAAAAAAAAAAAAAAACCCUGUAUAAGAAAGGAACUUCCUGAGGCAUCGCCAUUCCUGAAUUCCUGACUUCAAGCUCUAUUAUAAAGCUAUUGUCCUGAAAAUAGCUUGGUAUUGGCACAUAAAUAGGCAGCAAACCAAUGGAAUUGAACUGAAAACCCUGAGAUGGACCCACACAACUACCAACACCUGAUUUACACAAAGGAAAAAAGAAAGCAUCUUCAACAAAUGUUGCUGGCAUAACUGAAUGCUGGCAUGUAGAAGACUGAAGAUAGAUACAUGUCUAUCACCAUGCACACAACAUAAGCUCAAAUGGAUCGGAGACCUCAAAACAAAUCCAGCCACAAUGAACUUAUUAGAAGAUAAAUUGGGUAGUACUCUUGAAAUAAUUGGUAUACAAGACUGGUCCCUGAACUUUAUACCACUAUACAAGAAGGACAUCUGUUCAACUAUGCUCACAGCAGCCUUAUUUGUAAUAGCCAGAACCUGGAGGCAACCUAAAUGCCUCUCAACUGAAUAAUAGACAGAGAAAAUGCAGUACAUUUACACAAGGUAGUACUACUCAGUUGGAUAAAAGAAUUGAAACUUGAAAUUCACAGGCCAAUUGCUGGAACUAGAAGAAACCAUUCUGAGCAAGGUGACCCAGUCACAAAAAGACAAACAUGAGCCUUCAUCGAGCAUCUAAUGGAAGUAGAAGCAAAUACCCACAGCUAAACACUGAAUUGAACUGGAAUCCAGGUGCAGAGAGGGAGGAGUGAUGGCCAAAUGGAUCCAAACCUGGCUGGUGAAACCCACAGAAGCAGCUGACCUGAGCAAGGGGGAGCUCUUGGUCACCAGACUGAUAGCUGGGAAAACAGCAUAGGACUGAUUCAGUCCACAAGAAUGUGGUUGUCAGAGAGGAGGCCUAGGAAAUCUAUGGGGCCCUUUAUGAUCUGUGGGCUCAAGUAUCCGGUUUGUGCAAUCCUGAUAUGCAUGUACUGUUGGGAAUUUAUCCCAUGUUUUGACACUCCCAGAACACAGAUUGCUGUUUUUUAGACAGUAAUGGAGUGCAUGGAAUUAAGCCAAGGUUUUGUAGACAUUGUCAAGAUGAAUCCUGCACAGAGUCUAAUUAUAGCAUAUAAGAGUGAGAUUGACAGUGACUAUGGGAGA
ensembl:lncRNA